UAAACGGACCAUCGAGUAUCCAUUGGAGGGCAAGUCUGGUGCCAGCAGCUGCGGUAAUACCAGCUCCAAUAGCGUAUAUUAAAGUUGUUGCAGUUAAAAAGCUCGUAGUUGGACUUGUGUGCGCUGUCCGCGGGUGGCCUGCGCCCAAAAGGGCGUUUCGGUUCGGCCCCGGUGGCGCCUUGAAAUCUGCAGCUGGGGGGACGUUGGCCUUAACUGGUCGGCGACCGCACGCCGGCUGCUCGGUUACUGUGAGAAAAUUAGAGUGUUCAAGGCAGGCAUUGGAUGCAAUUGAAUACAUUAGCAUGGAAUAAUAAAAUAUGGCUCCUGCCGUAUUUUGUUGGUUUUGACUGGUGGGAGUAAUGAUUGAUAGGGACGGUUGGGGGUGCUAGUAUUGAGCGGCCAGAGGUGAAAUUCAUGGAUUCGCUCAAGACUAACUUAUGCGAAAGCAUUCACCAAGGACGUCCUCUUUAAUCAAGAACGAAAGUUGGGGGAUCGAAGACGAUCAGAUACCGUCGUAGUCUCAACCAUAAACUAUGUCGACUUGGGAUCGGCGGUAGUUUUUUCAUUAAGACACUGUCGGGACCACGGGAGAAAUCAAAGUGUCUGGACUCUGGGGGAAGUAUGGUCGCAAGGCUGAAACUUGAAGGAAUUGACGGAAGGGCACCACCAGGAGUGGAGCCUGCGGCUUAAUUUGACCCAACACGGGGAAACUUACCAGGUCCAGAGAUGUAGAGGAUUGACAGAUUGAAGCUCUUUCUUGAUCACUUCGGUGGUGGUGCAUGGCCGUUCUUAGUUGGUGGAGUGAUUUGUCUGGUUAAUUCCGUUAACGAACGAGACCUCAGCCUGCUAGUGUAGUCGGCUGGAUUGCCUUUGGCGAUCCGUGAUUUCGACUUCUUAGAGGGACAAUCGACGCGCAGUCGAUGGAAGUUUGAGGCAAUAACAGGUCUGUGAUGCCCUUAGAUGUUCUGGGCCGCACGCGCGCUACACUGCUGGGCUCAGCGAGUUUUACUUGGCCGAGAGGCCCGGUUAAUCUUGUGAAAUCCCAGCGUUCUUGGGCUCGCCUCCUGCAACUGGAGGCGCCAACGAGGAAUUCCUAGUAGACGCAGGUCAUCAACCUGCAUCGAUUACGUCCCUGCCCUUUGUACACACCGCCCGUCGUUCCAUAAGAGUGAGGCAUCCGGUGAAUUCUCGGGAGAGCCUGGGCGUGGCCAGCAAUGGUCUGCUCGGGUUUGAACUUGCAUAAACUUGGUGCCUAUGAUUAGAG
rnacentral:rRNA from 1 species